GACGAACGCUGGCGGCGUGCUUAACACAUGCAAGUCGAACGGAAAGGCCCCCUUGUGGGGUACUAGAGUGGCGAACGGGUGAGUAACACGUGAGUAACCUACCCUUGACUUUGGGAUAACUUCAGGAAACUGGGGCUAAUACCGGAUAGGAGCUCCUGCUGCAUGGUGGGGGUUGGAAAGUUUCGGCGGUUGGGGGUGGGCUCGCGGCUUAUCAGCUUGUUGGUGGGGUAGUGGCUCACCAAGGCUGUGACGGGUAGCCGGCCUGAGAGGGUGACCGGCCACAUUGGGACUGAGAUACGGCCCAGACUCCUACGGGAGGCAGCAGUGGGGAAUAUUGCACAAUGGGCGGAAGCCUGAUGCAGCAACGCCGCGUGCGGGAUGACGGCCUUCGGGUUGUAAACCGCUUUCGCCUGUGACGAAGCGUGAGUGACGGUAAUGGGUAAAGAAGCACCGGCUAACUACGUG
rnacentral:rRNA from 1 species